CAUGAUCAUCAGUUCAGACACGCGUCCUUCACCCGUGAAAACCCCAUCUUUCUUUAGAACCUUCUCCUUUGUUUUCUACUCUGAUCAAACCUUUUCAUCCCUGGUGAAACUCCAUUUCUGUAGCAAAAGUGACUCAGAACAGAGCCAAAUCUUCUGGUUCACAAUUCUGAAUUGAGAGAAAGUUACAAGGUGAAAGUCUCUUCUGGUCACGCCUGUCAGCCAACUUCGACAGCUGAAAACUGCCAUUUCUGCUGUUCACAUCAGCACGACUUUUUCAUGAAAGUUGUUCGAAAUUGCGUCUUCUAUACUGUGCUCGAAAAUCAUGAUAAUCCAACGGUUAAUUCGUUCUCAAUCAAGUUACUACACAGAUUGGGUCAUGUUUCUCCAUCGACAUUGAGUUAAUUUCAUGAAGUUUACAUCUCCAUCUUGAGUUCACACACAAUUGAUUUUACAAUUGGAAUGGGGACAUGCAGUGGACUUCGAUCACCAAAGGAACAAUGAUAGAGGUGGUGGCUUAGUUCGUCGAUAUGUUUUCCAUUGCUAAGCUAUCAAGCUACUUCAUAUUUGAUUCCAGGUAGGGAAGCUUCACCCUAGUUAGUGCUCUUUGUUUUAUACAUUGUUUUUAUGGUUUGAAGUGGUUUUUAAGAUUUAACACUUGAGUUCAUGAGAUGACUUGAGAGUGAGCGGGGCAUAGCGACUUCCUUGGGUUUCGAUUCCCUAAACCUCCGAAGGGGCUGUAUGGACGGGAUAGUGUCUGACAUCCUUUGAGGUGUGACACUAGAUCUAGGUGGUAUGGCGUAAAUGGACACUCUCGCUACUCUUCACCUGUUGUUGAAGAUUUAAAUAUUCGGUGAGGAUGUAGUUGGCUAGUAUUAGACCGGUCAUUAGGUUUGAUUUUACCCGGGUACUCAUUCGUUUUCAUAUGGUUUCACAUUGGGAGUUCUUUAUUUAAUUUUAUUAUAUUUUACUCAACUGGCGCCAAUUACUAUUUGGUUUUAAAACCUAGCUAGGGUUGAUGUUUGAGCAGCGAGGACGAAAACUCACCCCUACUAUAGUUGGUCUUGCAGGUACUGUGCACGAGGAUUGAGGAGGAUUUCGGGACUGAGCUGGGUGUUACAUUUUUUACUUGACUCUUCGGUAUAUUUACCUUCACAUUUUUUUUCACCUCUACUAAAUUGUCAUUGUUUGAUUGAGGUGAAUGUUAACUUGUAUUUGUGAAUCUUUGCUGAGCUUCUUAACUUCGUAUUCAGAUGGUUUGAACCAAACUAGAAUUUAUUUUCAAUGUUGUCCUUUCAGUUUUGUGUCAAUUGAGUAGUAAUGUCUCUCUUGACACUGUUUAGUUAUAAUGUUCUUUUAACAAACAAGAAUAAAGUUUCAAUUUCACCUCGCUUUAAA